CAUGGCCCAGGAGAGACGCCCGGUCCCAUUCCGAACCCGGAAGCUAAGGCCUGGCACGGCGAUGGUACUGCACCCGACAGGGUGUGGGAGAGUAGCACGCCGCCGCAC
rnacentral:rRNA from 1 species